rnacentral:lncRNA from 10 species
AUUAUUUGUCAAUUAAAAAUAUAAAAAUUUUAAAAAUAUUUCCAGAGGACUAUGAUGGAGUAAACCCAUGGACUUUAUUUAGUUAUUUAUUUUUCUCCAUUAUUUUAGCAAGUUUCAGACCCUAUUAUGCAGACACAUUUAUAAAGGCUGAUUUUAGUCUUAGUUCUGCUAAAAGCAAUAACAGAAUCCCACAGCUCAGGGUUUAGAAAUUCCUGACUUAGAUACUAAAAACCAUGUUUACUUGAAUAGUUUCAUUGUUCUUUGCCCUUCUUUCUACAUAUAGAAUUGAUGCCUAGGUGUGAGCUAGAAUUACCCGCUCUUUAUAUCAUUACAAAUUUUCUUGUGUUCAUCCCCUUAUUUCUUAAGGAACAAAAGUGUCUUCAGAUAAGAUGGAAAUUUUCAUGAAAAGCAUGGGAAUUGAUCUCAAGGAGAAAGAAAUCCAGGCACUGAAGGACCACCUACCAGUUGAUGAUAAUGGGAAGACUGAUUUGAAUACGAUGAUGGAUGAAGUUAAAAAUGUUACAGGAGAGAAGAUUCAUGCUGGGGAUGUGAAAAAUGUUCUGGAAAACAUGGGAAUAGAGAUCACAAAUAAGGAGCACAAAAAGCUUCUGAAAACUUUGCCAGUUUCUGGUAAGCAUUUACAUGUAUUCUGCUUCACUGAUGUCUAAAAAUAUAUUCAUUCAACACUUACUGAAGAUCAUUGUCUAUGUGGCACUAUCUAAAACCUGAGAGCGCAGGGACCAUGUCUGAUUCUCCAAGUCCUUAC